UACAGAGGGUGCGAGCGUUAAUCGGAAUUACUGGGCGUAAAGCGCGCGUAGGCGGCUUUGCAAGUCGGGUGUGAAAUCCCCAGGCUUAACCUGGGAACUGCAUUCGAGACUGCAUUGCUAGAGUAUGGGAGAGGGAAGUGGAAUUUCCGGUGUAGCGGUGAAAUGCGUAGAUAUCGGAAGGAACAUCAGUGGCGAAAGCGACUUCCUGGACCAAUACUGACGCUCAUGUGCGGAAAGCGUGGGGAGCAAACAGG
rnacentral:rRNA from 1 species